GAUGAACGCUGGCGGCGUGCCUAAUACAUGCAAGUCGAGCGAACAGACGAGGAGCUUGCUCCUCUAACGUUAGCGGCGGACGGGUGAGUAACACGUGGAUAACCUACCUAUAAGACUGGGAUAACUUCGGGAAACCGGAGCUAAUACCGGAUAAUAUAUUGAACCGCAUGGUUCAAUAGUGAAAGACGGUUUUGCUGUCACUUAUAGAUGGAUCCGCGCCGCAUUAGCUAGUUGGUAAGGUAACGGCUUACCAAGGCGACGAUGCGUAGCCGACCUGAGAGGGUGAUCGGCCACACUGGAACUGAGACACGGUUCAGACUCCUACGGGAGGCAGCAGUAGGGAAUCUUCCGCAAUGGGCGAAAGCCUGACGGAGCAACGCCGCGUGAGUGAUGAAGGUCUUCGGAUCGUAAAACUCUGUUAUUAGGGAAGAACAAAUGUGUAAGUAACUAUGCACGUCUUGACGGUACCUAAUCAGAAAGCCACGGCUAACUACGUG
rnacentral:rRNA from 1 species